AUGGAUUUCAGUAAAAACAAGAAACUGGUGAAGAAAUUGGCAAAGAAGCACCAUGCUUUUUUUUUAGCUUCUGAAGCUGUUAUCAAGCAGAUUCCACGUUUGUUGGGUCCUGGUCUAAACAAGGCAGGAAAGUUUCCUACACUUGUUUCCCAACAAGAAUCUCUUGAAGCCAAGGUUAAGGAGACUAAGGCUAUCGAUGGAUGUUGA